rnacentral:rRNA from 1 species
UACGGAGGGUGCAAGCGUUAUCCGGAUUUACUGGGUUUAAAGGGUGCGUAGGCGGACUUGUAAGUCAGUGGUGAAAUCCCGGGGCUCAACCCCGGAACUGCCAUUGAUACUAUAGGUCUUGAAUAUUGUUGAGGUGGGCGGAACGGGUCAUGUAGCGGUGAAAUGCAUAGAUAUGACCCGGAACACCGAUUGCGAAGGCAGCCCGCUAAGCAAUGAUUGACGCUGGAGGCACGAAAGCCGUGGGGAUCAAACAGG